UCGUAGGAUUUGAGUGUGAUUGAAGAAAUUUUCCUUGGGGGAAUUCAUGCUGGAGCAUCACUGAACUCGUCUAUGGCUAUUCCCUAGCGAUUUCCUCUCUCAAAUUUGUGUUUAUCUUGGAGCAUUGAUUUAACAUUUUUGUUCUUUCUUAUCUGCAGGAUUUAAAGGUUGUUCUAGGUCCUUGCAGGAUUAAGCCUAACAAAACAGAGAUUUGUGAUUAAAAGUUGGUUCAAGGUUCUUGCAAUAUUAAGCCUAGCAAAACAGAUUCGUGGGCAGCAAGGAAAGGAAGGUGUUGUAGUUCAGAAAAUCCAAAAACAACUAGGAGAUUGUCGAGCUCUAGUGUAAGGUAAGUUCAACUAAUUUACCUUGUUUCCGGUUCAAUUGUGUGUUUGUUCAUUAUCUUUGAGUGUAUGCAGCAAAGUUUUUAUGCUUGUUAUAUGUUCUUAGAAGCUCUAUCAUAUCCGUAAUAACACACAUGGAUAAAUCGUGGAUCGACAAUGUGGCUAGGUACAAUACAACUUUUUUUCACAAUAACUAAAAAAAUGUGCUACGUGGUUAUCUUGAUAUUUAACAUAGAAAUUGCAUGUAGGGAGACAAAGGCCUAUACACAAGGGGUGAAUAGUUUUCUAGCUUUUGCAUUAAAAAAUUCAGCGGUAGGAAGCAAGAUUUUAUGCCCUUGUAGGAAGUGUGUCAACUCAUUUUGGCGGGAGGCUAUUGAAGUUCGAGAACACUUGAUUUGUGAUGGAUUUUUAAAAGGGUAUAGAACAUGGACCUUACAUGGAGAAGCUAGUUCCUCUGUAUUGAACAAUGAAAAUGGUGAUGUCCCUGAGUUCAUUGAGGUGCAUGACGAAGAAGAUGACAUAUCUGAGUUGAUUAAGGAUUUAGCAUGUGGUUUAGAUGAUAGAGGAGAUAUGGAAGAUGAUGGGUCUUUUGAUCCAUUUGAUAAAGAUGUAGCUACCAUUCGUAGGCUAGCAGCAGACAACAGUCAAGAAUUGUACCCAGGUUGCAAUAAGUACUCAAAGCUACGCUUUCUAGUUCGUUUACUUCACAUAAAACUUCUUGGAGGAUGGACGGAUAGAAGUUUUAAUUUGUUGGUUGAUCUACUUGUUGAUGCGUUGCCUAAGG